UGGAGUUUCUGCCUCUGGUGUGUCCUGCACAGAAGCCAAUGUCUCCAAAGCCAAGUACAACAGCAAAAUAUGGUUUUGGCAAUAGCUAGGAUAGAGACAUAAAGAUUACAAUGAGAAAAAGGCUGAAGUUCUCAAACCCUCUUUUACACUGAUUUGAACAGGCACAAGCAGCUCCCAGGCAGCUCAGUCUACCAAUUUGACAAGGAAAAAGUGAUGGAGCAGAGCAGGGACCUGGCAGUGAAACUGGACAAACUCAGAUAGAUGGGGCUCAUUAUGCUGUGCCCACUUUUGGCUCCCCCAAUCUAAGAGCAGUGUGGAGAAUCGACAGGAGGUUCAGCAGAAGGUGCUGGGAUACUCUGGGCCAAGAGCACAGGAUCUAAAUGGAAGGACUGAAGGUGCUGGGCUUGCUUGUCCUGGCAAAACAGAGGCCAGGGACUGGUCUCUGCCUGCACAGCAGUUACAGAGAUGACAGCCAAGUUCAGGGAGUCCAUACUGGGAAAUAAUUGAAUGAAAAUGCCAAGAGGAAAGGGAUGUGCAUACCAGGUCUGUGUGCAGACAAGAACCAGAAUCUCUUGAGCUUGCUACUAGUUUUGACUCUUAAAGACCUCAGAAAAUCUCUGCACUCUCCAGCUCUCUGUUUGUAAAAUGAAAUUCAGCAGUGGGUUACCUCACAAGGCUGCUGUUAGUGCUGGAAUCCAAAGAACGAGCAGUUGGUAAAUGCACUACUGGUAUUACCAAUGUAACAAAAUCAAAGAGAACAGGAUAAGAUUUCAUGGAUGGGAAACACUGCCUUAACAAGAGCCUUUUUCAAAUGUCUUCCCCUCCUGACAAAAGAUGAGGAAAUUACUUGUAAUGCAUUAUAUUGUAUUAUAUGAGGGGAAAAAAAAAUCAAGCUGCCACCUUUAUUUUUUGCCAGGGGGAGAAAACUAGCAUCGAGCUGUACUAGGUACAAACUGUAUAUUGAGAGUAAUCCUGUGUCGAGUUUGUGUCCCAGUGUGGGAAUUUUGUUUGC
rnacentral:lncRNA from 1 species